rnacentral:rRNA from 1 species
UAGGGAAUAUUGGACAAUGGGUGAGAGCCUGAUCCAGCCAUGCCGCGUGCAGGAAGAAGGCGUUAUGCGUUGUAAACUGCUUUUUGCCAGGGGAUAAAAAGACCGUGCGCGGUUAAUUGAAGGUACCUGGAGAAUAAGCCCCGGCAAACUUCGUGCCAGCAGCCGCGGUAAUACGAAGGGGGCUAGCGUUGUUCGGAAUUACUGGGCGUAAAGCGCACGUAGGCGGAUUGUUAAGUCAGAGGUGAAAUCCCGGAGCUCAACUUCGGAACUGCCUUUGAUACUGGCAAUCUAGAGUCCGGAAGAGGUUAGUGGAAUUCCCAGUGUAGAGGUGAAAUUCGUAGAUAUUGGGAAGAACACCAGUGGCGAAGGCGGCUAACUGGUCCGGUACUGACGCUGAGGUGCGAAAGCGUGGGGAGCAAACAGGAUUAGAUACCCUCGUAGUCCCUGAGCGGGCUGGCAAGGCG